UUCUGGAAGGGCUGUGGUGGACUACAAGGCUGAGUAGGACAGUGAGCUGGUGCCUCCUGCCUUCAGGGGUAGCAUGGUGGCUGUUAUGUUAAGCAGGUGGAAAGAACCAGCUCCUGGGUUGCAGUUGUCUACAGAAAUAAGAAGGGUCUUGCUUGCAGCUAGACAGCUGUGUCAGAUGCUUUCAGAAAUGCUUACAGUCUAGAUUCUAAAAAUGACCUUGGGAAACAGAAGGGAGAGAUACAAAUCCCCAGGUUUUAGAUACCAGGCUUGUGGAGUGGAAGUAAGGCAUUUCAGCUUUCAGUGGUCCAUGUGGACUAAAUCAGGUGUUUCAGAAGAAUAACAGCCUGCAACUUUCUGCCAGUCUCAGUGGAGGAAGAAUGCAAUCACCUGGGAAAGGUAUUGAGGGGCAAUAUAAACAGGAGAAAAAUGACAACAGACUGCUUCACUUCAAAUGACAUCAAAUGGUUUGAAUCUGACAUUGAUGGGGAACUUGGAGAAACCACCAUCAAUUCCCCAGUUCUCCCUUUCCCACUGCCCUCCAUCUGGAAGAAGCCAUCACACAGGCAUGGUGCAGCAAAUCCUUCACCUCUGUCUGUAGUCCUGGAAUAUCAUCUGGCAUGCACAAGAAAAUACAAGGGGUGAUAAAGGAUGAUUCAGGAUGGGAAGCUGUAGGAUCUCUGGGUGGUAUUUUUAAAAAACUUAAGCUCUGCUUCUCCCCCAGUGGGGUCUGCUGUCUCUUAGUGGUAGAUCAGAAGUUGUUCUUCUCCUUCACCUGCUUCAUAUUUUAUUACUCCUCAAGCAGGAUUCAGAUCCACAUUCAGCCACUUCAAAGUGGCUGGUGCCUGGAUUGACAAGAGAGUAGGCUUUAUUUAAGUGACUACAUUUUUUCUAGUCCUCUGAUUCACAGAUCAUAAAUGCAGUUGCAGACAGCAUGAACUAUGAUGAAAGCAUGUUACCAUUGUCAUAUUUUUGUAGUCAGGGUAGCACUGGCAAUGAAAACAGUUUUCAAUACUACUGAUAAUUGGAAUUUAAGGAUCAAGAGGUUGGAGAGUGGUUUUUUUUAAAAUCCUAAAAAGUGAUGUUGACUGGCUAUGGUGAAAGCACCAUGAUGAACGGUAAAUACAGUUCCUGGAAAGUCUUCUUGUGUACCUCUUAUGCAUUUCCCAUCUUGUACCUCAUUGUCAGCUCCUCUUGGCUUAGAGAAGAGUCACUGAGGAUUGCAUUUGUCCUAAAGAGUCUAUUCUUUGUUUCCAUUCAAGUUGUUUGAUGUUCCCUUGCACCUUUUCUCAAUAACAACAGAACUGCAUAUCACACUCCUAAAUGCACUGACAACCACAGCUCCAGCUGAAGUUUUCUUUAUGUGCCUGCUCAUUCAAAACUGUCAACUUGAAUACAAUAUCAAAUUAUUCUCAGAUUAUUUAUUUGAUUGGAGCAACCAAAGAGAACUAUAUGCCAGAAUUAAUCCACAGGGGAAAGGCAAUGUGAGUUCUGCUUUGCUUAAGUGAUCCCUGACUUUGUGCCUUUUGAAACUAUUAUGCCUAGCUUAAGCUCAAUGAUACUUGAGUAAAUAUCCUUGCUCUACAGAGUAUGUCAUGAGACUGGACAGUCAUACAUCUAUCUCAUCUAAAUGGCUCUCACAAUUAUUCUGUAUUUUUAGGAAAAGCUUCGUUUUCUGUUGUAAACCACAUAUAAUGGCAUCCAUCUAAUGCAAUUGUACCUUUGCUACUUUGCUCCUCUGGUGUGUAUGUAACUAUGACUUUUUUUUCCUCCUGGCCUAAUGUGGAAUUUUCUGGGCCAACAAAUCAAUGAAGGAUUUAGUUGGUUUAACCCAGUUCCUGUCAUAACAACGCUUUGUUUUCCAUCCCCUUAUUAUAACGUUACUAACAACCUACCCUGUUCUUAAUAAUUCCAGUUUCUCCAAGUUCUGCAGCUGAUGCAAAAGGAUGACAGGGGAUCUUUUCAGUGCAGGUGUAUAGCCUAGCUUCUGGCUGUCUAGAGGCACUCUGGGCUUUGCUCUCUUCCUCUGUGGCAAUUUUGAUAUUAGAGUGACUGAGUGAGUACCUUCUUCCUAUCUCUGUGAUGUGUGUGUACGAAGAAGAUGAUCUUCUGCAAUUUAGUUUAUCUCCUGCUAAAGCAGACUAUGUGCCAGGUAACUGCUUUUCACAAUGCCAUCCAAUCAGUCGUGUCGAUGCUCUGGUGUCACCUUUGUGACAGCUACUUCAUAGAGAUAACAGAAUGCUGGUAGCCAAUUAGAUUUUGCUGAUAGGGAUACCACAGAGCCUGUCCAAGGGGGGGAGGCUGUGCACACCCACAGCUUGACAAUAAUAACAUAGUUGAAAUGGCAAAGCCCAGAGGGGCUAACAUAGCAAUCUAUUACAGGUAGCUGCAUACAUACAACCGUAUAAGCAGGGUAUUGGCAUACAAGGGACUAGACAGUCUUUGAGGCUCUCAACUCAAGCCAUUCACACCAGCAAACUUUAAAAGUGUUAGUCUGCUCAUAAAUGAUUUUCAGAAAAUUAACUAAGAAGAACGAGCUUUGUGGCUGACAUGUCAUCUCUCACAGGAGACAGGGCAGCAGCCACUCUGUCCACAUUGCACUUGCCUUUGCUAUGACAGAGAAGUGGGAACUGCUCUGUGCCAUGUCCCCAGAUGGCAAGAAGGUAAUUUUCUCGUGCUCCCCUCAUAAAGGCAGCAGAGAAAUGCAAGAGGCUGCA